CCUUUAGACCUGUGCAAUAGGGUUGUUUGGUAAUGUGUCAGGACGGGAACGUAGCAGCACGCUGGACAUCUUUAUGUGCCGCAGCCAUCUGGAGGGGA
rnacentral:SRP_RNA from 1 species